ACGCACUGCUAAAAGAACACCAAAAGGUGAAAUCAGCAGAAAAGAAAAAAAAAAUGAAGAAGAAGAAGAGCUGCUUGAAGUCACUCCCCAAUUAAUCGAUCAAGUCCUUCACAGUUGACACCUUCAAGAAUUUCCCACUCCAAGAAAUUUUCACAACUUAGAUUUAGGCUUUGCCCUCGCCACUUGAAGGAACGAGAAUUUUGGAGGAUUUAUUGUACACAUGUCAAGAGCCGCGUGACUGAGUAAGUUUUAUAAGUUUUCAGUGGUUUAGUCCUAAUAUUUUGAAAUUUAUUGCAACAGAAGCUCUAUUUUCACUGUUAUCUUAUGAGUUGGAAACUAUGCUCGAAGACUUGACCUUGUGAGAAGAGGAAGCAUUUAAUUGCAUUUUUCAAUUUUUUGUGCUGUUCUUACAAAUUGGUUCUCUAUUGCUGAUGCAUGGAAAAAGUGUUUUUGUAGGUACUUUGUCUUCUAGUGUUUCUGCAGGUCAACAUGUUCCAAAGUGGUUCUCUUCCUCAAAUGAAAGAUGUUAUUGAAACCGUGCUAGAUGAUUUGUUACUUACUCUCAAAUUGGUUUCUGCAAAUUUCUUGUCAAAUGCCAUGGUCAUUCCGACUCUGAUGCCACUUGGAUUAUUGAAGAGAAAUUUCAAGCUUUGGAUCCUUCUCUCUUUGAUUCUUAUUUGCGGUUCAACUCUCUAAAGUCAAGUUAUUUUCAACUAAAGGAGAAUAAUGCAUGAUCUUCUAGAGAUUUGAUGACUAAAUAUUUUAGGAAAAGAUAUAACAAGUAAUACUUUAUUUAUUUAGGGAGUUAUAUUGGUUUAGGAUUCCCAACUGACAUUUGCUUCAUAUUUUCUAUUUAGGAUUUCAAAUCCUAAUAUAGGAUUACAAAUAAUCUAUAAAUAUUGUCUUCUAGGUAUUUUGGAUAGAUCUUUUUGUAUGAUUGACAAUUGAUUUGAGAAUAAAUAAAAUUGAGAGUUGGUUUCUCUUUCCCUUUGUUCUUUUGGUUCCACAUCAAUUAGUUUGCGAAACAUGGUUUUAAAUAACAGCUGUUACGUAAUGCGACUAACAUGACGGCCGUUAUUUAUAGGUAAAUAAGAGAAUCAUUACCCUUUACCUGUUAGUUAAAGGCAGAUUUUGAAAUGCCUGAGUGUCACCACCAUUACUUAAUGGUAACAGUUGUUAUUUACUGUUGCGUAACGAUAACGGCUGUGACUUAAUAAUUCAGCUUUAUACAAAUCACAUGGCAGCAGUGUUUUCUAAGCUUUCUUUAAUUCACUAUGUGUUCCAGCCUUCCAAGCUACUAUUUCUAUACAUUUUCUCUCAAAAUUUCACCAAACUUCUCCUCCUUUCUAUAAAUCUUUCCCUUAUUCUUUUUUAAGCUAAGAUCAUCAUAAAUAUUUCUAUUCUUCAUAAAUACUUUUUGCAAAAUAUGAGUAUUAUUUGCUGUUUUUAGCGUAUUUGAUGUAUUUAUCGUUAUUAUAUAAUUGUGUAUCUUAGUUUUACUUUUUUUUUAUUAGCAAAUUUUAUUAAUAAAAUUCCAAGAAAAACUUAACCUAUAGCACCAUAACUAAACCAAGCCAUGAGGAUCCCCGAUAGACCCAAACUAGAUGCCACAUGUUAUGUGAAGAAACCUAGACUAAAGUACAAAAAUAUCUCAUGAACUUAGCAAAGUUUUCAAAAAAAAAAAAUUGCAUAACGCUGGGCCGCUGGGCCGUUACUAUUACAUUAUGGCCAUUAUAGGCCUGUUUCUAUUACACGUGACAAUGACCACAAUUGUGGCCACACCCGCGACUUAAAACCAUGUUGCAAACAGUUAAUCUUUUGAUCUUUGGCCCUAAUCAAAAUCUUUUGUUUUAGAUAAAUAAUUUAGAAAAUCUUAUCUGAGAUAUUAUUUGUAAAUAAAAUAAUUCAGAAGACAUGUCUGACUGCCUCUUCUCCUAGUAUUGUCUACUAAUGCAAGCCAUAGCCGAAGUGUUGGUCCUAAUUUUGUUUUCAGGCUUGGUCAAAUAUACCAACUCAGGAUUCGUUUUGUUGCUUUUGUUCUUUUCAAAAUUGUUAGAUCUGCAUAUUUUUUCCUACAUACAUUUAUCAGCUUCAGCUUAAUUAUAAAUAUAGUCAAGUGCUUUUUUUAAACCUUUU